rnacentral:rRNA from 1 species
UACGGAGGAUGCAAGCGUUAUCCGGAAUGAUUGGGCGUAAAGCGUCCGCAGGUGGCAAUGUAAGUCUGCUGUCAAAGCGUCUGGCUCAACCAGAUAAAGGCAGUGGAAACUACAUAGCUAGAGUAAGGUAGGGGUAGAGGGAAUUCCUGGUUUAGCGGUGAAAUGCGUAGAGAUCAGGAAGAACACCGGUGGCGAAAGCGCUCUGCUGGACCUAAACUGACACUGAGGGACGAAAGCUAGGGGAGCGAAUGGG